GACGAACGCUGGCGGCGUGCCUAAUACAUGCAAGUCGAACGCAGUGGGGACGGGUGAGUAACACGUGGGUAACCUCCCAUCAGACGGGAUAACCCUUGGCAACAGGUGCUAACCCGCUACUGAUGUAUGUACCCGCGGUGCAUUAGCUAGUUGGUGAGGUACCGGCUCACCACGGCCACGAUGCAUAGCCGACCUGAGAGGGGGACCGGCCACACUGGGACUGAGACACGGCCCAGACUCCUACGGGAGGCAGCAGUGGGGAAUCGUCGGCAAUGGACGAAAGUCUGACCGAGCAACGCCGCGUGAGUGAAGAAGGUCUUCGGAUCGUAAAACUCUGUUGUUAGAGAAGCGGUAUCUAACCAGAAAGCCACGGCUAACUACGUGCCAGCCGCCGCGGUAAUAC
rnacentral:rRNA from 1 species